rnacentral:lncRNA from 1 species
AGUUCCCGUGGUUUUGAAUCGGUUUUUAAAAUUUUUUUAUUUAAAUUUUCUACCUUUGACUAUUUGGACAAAGACAUGCAAGUCGUACGUGUUAUUCUCGCCCGUGAAAGACGACAAACAAAUUUAAAACCUCAAGAAAUGUGGGAAAAGACUUGAAUAUGGAUUUUACAAAGGGUAAAAGACAAAUUUGGACUUUUUCAAUUUUUUUAAUAUUUAGACUUUACCUUAUUUGACAUGAAAAUGAUAAGCAUAACGGUGAAACUGACACUCUAUUUGUUAAUAAAACAACUUCCUAUGUAAUUCACAUGGUAAAGUGUAAAAUUUCCCACUAUUUCACUAAUUUUAGCAAGCUGUGAUUCAUAAUCGCAAAAUAUUUGGUUACAAACUACGAAGCUUUGAUCGAUAUUCAGUCACAUAUACGAGGAUUACGACGGUCUUUAAAGUGCGAACUGUCUAGUGUAUUAAUAAUGUUUAAAAGGUUGACUCCUGAGGUCUCGUUUUAUAAGCAAACAGCCUCAUUUCCAGGAUGGCCUGUUUUCUUACAUGUUUUCUCAGUAAAUAUCACUCUGAAUGAGCAAUGUACCUUUUAUAUAAGUGCACUCAUAGUUCUGAUACCCCUGGUUUAAGUUGAGGAGUUAGGUCACAUUCUUUUGUUUACUGUACCUUGAUCAUAUGCUAAUUAUGUUACUGGUGGAUUUUUGUACAACCUACAUAAUUAAUCUACUCUUGUUUAUUGCAGAUUUAUUCCACAAUGACACACUCCUUUCUGGGUGGCAAGUUACAGUACCAAGCCUGGCAAGCCACACAUAUCUUUGGAAACUGAACAUACUGUAUUUUAAUACAUGCUUCCAGAAAUUAUGUCACCUUGGCUAUAUAUAGAGUCUCAUUUUCACGAUUGAGACAUUGGACUUUAACUCAUGCCACAUACAUGAAAAUGAGGCUCCUGUGACAAGGUGAAAUACAUUCUGGAAGGGUGUAUUUGACUUUUUUGAAAAAUUAUUGGCA